UGUACUUCUACUUACAAGAAAAUAGUUAACUGUAAACAGCCGCAUGCAGAUUUCUCAGGCGGUGUUUCAUAAGAAGACAUUGUUAUAGGAGAUGAAAACUCUACACCUGUUAUUGCCCCUGAAAACCUUCCAAGGUGCCAAGAUGUCUGGGUGGAAGACAAUGAUAUUGAUCAUCCUGACCCUGUGUAAGCCUCAGCUAAGUUGCACAUGACAAGUCCUGCACAGCUUAAUGAAUACUUCUCUGGAAAUAUGGGACUCCAGGCUUCUCGCGUCCAUUUAUUGCACCUAGGUUUCUCCAUCCUUUUACAUCCAAACGAUGUGCCAAUGUGCUCCUCUUUUAUUCAUUGUUAUUAAUUUCAUUGCCACAUACUCAUUGUCCAAACUUAUGAGAUAUGGUAGGAUAUUUCAUUACAUAUGUACAAUGUACAAUGAUCAGAUUAGGGAAAUUAGCAAAUCCAUCACCUCAAACAGUUGUCACUUCUUUGUGUUGAGAACAUCCCAAACCCUCUCUUCUAGCUAUCUACAAAUAUGCAAUAAAUUGUUAGUAAUAUAGUCACCUUACAGUGCCACAGAACCUUAAAAAUUUUUCCUUCCAUCUAGUUGCAAUUGUGUAUAUGUGAACCAACCUUUCCCUAUCUCCCCCUCCUGUUACCCUUUCCAGUCUUUUAGUAACCACUAUUCUACUCCUUCCUUCUUUGAGAUCAACUUUAAUAGCUUCCACAUAUGAGUAAGUAUAUGCAGUAUUUAUCUUUCUAUGGCUGGUUUACUUCACUUAACAUAAUAAAAUGUUUCUACAGAUUUGCCUAUUCUGGAUGCUUUAUUCAAAUAGAAUGAUAUAAUAUGUGGUCUUUCAUGACUAACUUUUUUCAUUCUGUAUAAUUUCAUCAUUUUGUAAGAGUCAUCCAUGCUCUAGCAUGUUUACACACUUGAUUGCACUUGAUUGUUUUUAUUGCUAAAUAAUAUUACACUGUAUGUAUAUCUAGAAAUGGAAUUGAUAGGUCAUAUUACAGAUCUAUGUUUAACCUAUUGAGGAAAUGACAAAUUCUUCCACAUAAGCCAAACUGUUUUACAUUUUCACCAGCAAUGUAUGAGAAUUUCCAUUUUCUAACUUCCUCACCAACACUUGUUAUUGUCUGGCAUGUUGGAUAUAGUCAGCCUAAUAAGUAUGAAGUGAUAUUUCACUGUGGUUUUGAUUUGCAUUCCCUGAUGGCUAAUGUUGUUGAAAAUUCUUUUAUGUGUUUUGGGGCAUUUCUAUGUCUUCUGUAUGUGAAUAUCUAUUUAUAUUAAUUGUUCAUUUUUAACUGAGUUUUGUAUUUUUAUUUGUUUUCUAUUGUUUUAAGAAUUCAUUAUAAAUUCUGGAUAAAAGUUAAGUAGUAGAUUUAUAAUUCUUAAAUAUUUUCUGCAACUUAAUUGAUUGUCUUAUUAAUAUUAUC
rnacentral:lncRNA from 10 species